rnacentral:rRNA from 1 species
CCUGGCGGCUGUAGCGCGGUGGUCCCACCUGACCCCAUGCCGAACUCAGAAGUGAAACGCCGUAGCGCCGAUGGUAGUGUGGGGCCUCCCCAUGCGAGAGUAGGGAACUGCCA